CAAUUCCCGGUAAUCUCCGGGAACUGUCAGCUAGGAUGCAGACUAAGGUGCGAUUUGUUCCUACGUUGUUUUGGUCAUGAUACCCGGGAGUGACCUCCAGCUCCCGGCUCUAUCGCUAACUAUUAAAACAAAGGCAAAUGUGUAGUUAGCCCAACAAGCCAUUACAACCUUGUCAAGGAAAACAUUACCAGUUUUG
rnacentral:sRNA from 1 species